rnacentral:lncRNA from 1 species
GCCUUGACGACCGCGACAAGAUGGCGAACCUGACGGGCACGAUUAAGGGGCUGUACCCCGAAACACUGAGCCCAGAGCAGCUGGAGAAGCUGCGCGGCUUCAAGAUUCAAACUCGGAUUACUAAUGAAAAGUACCUUAGGACCCACAAAGAAGUGGAGUUGCUCAUAAGUGGUUUCUUCAGACUAUUUCACGGAUCCAAGACUUCCCAACAAGAUUCACAUGCAGCUAAUUAAGGAGAAGAAAGCGGCUUAAUUAGCAAAAUCACGAUGCUCAGCUGUUGAGAGAGACCAGAAAGAAUCCAGCCUUUGGUGGGUGUUAACCUCACUUACAGACAGAGGCUUCUUCACUCCUGUGAAAUAAGCACUGGCUCAUCGGCCUGGGGUGUGAAAGAAACCAA